AUGGAGGGGCUGGAAGGUGAGGUUACAGUGCAAACUGGAGAUCUGUUGCCAUGUAGGAUUUGUGGAAGGACUUUCUUUCCAGCAGCACUGAAAAAGCAUGGUCCCAUUUGCCAAAAAACUUCUGCCAAGAAAAGGAAGACAUUUGAUUCCAGCCGACAGAGAGCAGAAGGAACUGACAUUCCCACAGUAAAACCUCUUAAGCCACGGCCAGAACCACCCAAAAAACCUUCCAACUGGAGACGAAAGCACGAGGAAUUUAUAGCAACUAUACGAGCAGCCAAAGGACUUAAUCUUAAAGAUGGUGGAAAACUCCCUCUGCCACCUCCACCAUCAUAUGACCCUGAUUACAUUCAGUGUCCUUAUUGUCAGAGGAGAUUUAAUGAAAAUGCAGCUGACAGACACAUCAAUUUCUGUAAGGAACAAGCAGCACGUAUUACUAAUAAGGGAAAAUUGGCAGCUGAUACCAAAGGGAAGCUUCCUACUCGAACACAGUACAAACCUGCUGCAGUUAAGAAGAUGCCUUCUGUAGGAUCAACACCGUCAUCAUCAUCACGCUUACCACAGCCAAGUGGUGUUAGCAAAACUGUUGUAGGUAUGAAAUGCAUGAUAUGA
rnacentral:lncRNA from 1 species